GUGUUUAACUGGAGGAAGGUGGGGAUGACGUCAAGUCAUCAUGGCCCUUACGACCAGGGCUACACACGUGCUACAAUGGCGCAUACAAAGAGAAGCGACCUCGCGAGAGCAAGCGGACCUCAUAAAGUGCGUCGUAGUCCGGAUUGGAGUCUGCAACUCGACUCCAUGAAGUCGGAAUCGCUAGUAAUCGUGGAUCAGAAUGCCACGGUGAAUACGUUCCCGGGCCUUGUACACACCGCCCGUCACACCAUGGGAGUGGGUAGCAAAAGAAGUAGGUAGCUUAACCUUCGGGAGGGCGCUUACCAGUUUUUGUUUCUUUGUUUUUAGGAAAGGGAAAAAAAUACA
rnacentral:rRNA from 1 species